rnacentral:miRNA from 1 species
AAGACUAUAAAUAUAAUACACUCUGGUUCUGGAAGCAGAGUGUAUUAUAUUUAUAGUCUUG